GUAGGUGGCAAGCGUUGUCCGGAAUUAUUGGGCGUAAAGCGCGCGCAGGCGGGUCCUUUAAGUCUGAUGUGAAAGCCCACGGGCUCAACCGUGGAGGGUCAUUGGAAACUGGGGGACUUGAGUACAGAAGAGGAAAGCGGAAUUCCAAGUGUAGCGGUGAAAUGCGUAGAGAUUUGGAGGAACACCAGUGGCGAAGGCGGCUUUCUGGUCUGUAACUGACGCUGAGGCGCGGAAGCGUGGGGAGCAAACAGGAUUAGAUACCCUGGUAGUCCACGCCGUAAACGAUGAGUGCUAAGUGUUAGGGGGUUUCCGCCCCUUAGUGCUGCAGCUAACGCAUUAAGCACUCCGCCUGGGGAGUACGGCCGCAAAGGCUG
rnacentral:rRNA from 1 species